CUGAAACCGUGUACGUACAAGCAGUGGGAGCCUCUUAAUGGGGUGACUGCGUACCUUUUGUAUAAUGGGUCAGCGACUUAUAUUCUGUAGCAAGGUUAACCGAAUAGGGGAGCCGAAGGGAAACCGAGUCUUAACUGGGCGUUAAGUUGCAGGGUAUAGACCCGAAACCCGGUGAUCUAGCCAUGGGCAGGUUGAAGGUUGGGUAACACUAACUGGAGGACCGAACCGACUAAUGUUGAAAAAUUAGCGGAUGACUUGUGGCUGGGGGUGAAAGGCCAAUCAAACCGGGAGAUAGCUGGUUCUCCCCGAAAGCUAUUUAGGUAGCGCCUCGUGAAUUCAUCUCCGGGGGUAGAGCACUGUUUCGGCAAGGGGGUCAUCCCGACUUACCAACCCGAUGCAAACUGCGAAUACCGGAGAAUGUUAUCACGGGAGACACACGGCGGGUGCUAACGUCCGUCGUGAAGAGGGAAACAACCCAGACCGCCAGCUAAGGUCCCAAAGUCAUGGUUAAGUGGGAAACGAUGUGGGAAGGCCCAGACAGCCAGGAUGUUGGCUUAGAAGCAGCCAUCAUUUAAAGAAAGCGUAAUAGCUCACUGGUCGAGUCGGCCUGCGCGGAAGAUGUAACGGGGCUAAACCAUGCACCGAAGCUGCGGCAGCGACACUAUGUGUUGUUGGGUAGGGGAGCGUUCUGUAAGCCUGUGAAGGUGUACUGUGAGGUAUGCUGGAGGUAUCAGAAGUGCGAAUGCUGACAUAAGUAACGAUAAAGCGGGUGAAAAGCCCGCUCGCCGGAAGACCAAGGGUUCCUGUCCAACGUUAAUCGGGGCAGGGUGAGUCGACCCCUAAGGCGAGGCCGAAAGGCGUAGUCGAUGGGAAACAGGUUAAUAUUCCUGUACUUGGUGUUACUGCGAAGGGGGGACGGAGAAGGCUAUGUUGGCCGGGCGACGGUUGUCCCGGUUUAAGCGUGUAGGCUGGUUUUCCAGGCAAAUCCGGAAAAUCAAGGCUGAGGCGUGAUGACGAGGCACUACGGUGCUGAAGCAACAAAUGCCCUGCUUCCAGGAAAAGCCUCUAAGCAUCAGGUAACAUCAAAUCGUACCCCAAACCGACACAGGUGGUCAGGUAGAGAAUACCAAGGCGCUUGAGAGAACUCGGGUGAAGGAACUAGGCAAAAUGGUGCCGUAACUUCGGGAGAAGGCACGCUGAUAUGUAGGUGAAGUCCCUCGCGGAUGGAGCUGAAAUCAGUCGAAGAUACCAGCUGGCUGCAACUGUUUAUUAAAAACACAGCACUGUGCAAACACGAAAGUGGACGUAUACGGUGUGACGCCUGCCCGGUGCCGGAAGGUUAAUUGAUGGGGUUAGCGGUAACGCGAAGCUCUUGAUCGAAGCCCCGGUAAACGGCGGCCGUAACUAUAACGGUCCUAAGGUAGCGAAAUUCCUUGUCGGGUAAGUUCCGACCUGCACGAAUGGCGUAAUGAUGGCCAGGCUGUCUCCACCCGAGACUCAGUGAAAUUGAACUCGCUGUGAAGAUGCAGUGUACCCGCGGCAAGACGGAAAGACCCCGUGAACCUUUACUAUAGCUUGACACUGAACAUUGAGCCUUGAUGUGUAGGAUAGGUGGGAGGCUUUGAAGUGUGGACGCCAGUCUGCAUGGAGCCGGCCUUGAAAUACCACCCUUUAAUGUUUGAUGUUCUAACGUUGGCCCCUGACCGGGGUUGCGGACAGUGUCUGGUGGGUAGUUUGACUGGGGCGGUCUCCUCCUAAAGAGUAACGGAGGAGCACGAAGGUUGGCUAAUCCUGGUCGGACAUCAGGAGGUUAGUGCAAUGGCAUAAGCCAGCUUGACUGCGAGCGUGACGGCGCGAGCAGGUGCGAAAGCAGGUCAUAGUGAUCCGGUGGUUCUGAAUGGAAGGGCCAUCGCUCAACGGAUAAAAGGUACUCCGGGGAUAACAGGCUGAUACCGCCCAAGAGUUCAUAUCGACGGCGGUGUUUGGCACCUCGAUGUCGGCUCAUCACAUCCUGGGGCUGAAGUAGGUCCCAAGGGUAUGGCUGUUCGCCAUUUAAAGUGGUACGCGAGCUGGGUUUAGAACGUCGUGAGACAGUUCGGUCCCUAUCUGCCGUGGGCGCUGGAGAACUGAGGGGGGCUGCUCCUAGUACGAGAGGACCGGAGUGGACGCAUCACUGGUGUUCGGGUUGUCAUGCCAAUGGCACUGCCCGGUAGCUAAAUGCGGAAGAGAUAAGUGCUGAAAGCAUCUAAGCACGAAACUUGCCCCGAGAUGAGUUCUCCCUGACUCCUUGAGAGUCCUGAAGGAACGUUGAAGACGACGACGUUGAUAGGCCGGGUGUGUAAGCGCAGCGAUGCGUUGAGCUAACCGGUACUAAUGAACCGUGAG
rnacentral:rRNA from 1 species